rnacentral:rRNA from 1 species
ACCAGAGAUUCAGUGAAAUUGUAGUGGAGGUGAAAAUUCCUCCUACCCGCGGCAAGACGGAAAGACCCCGUGGACCUUUACUACAACUUAGCACUGCUAACGGGAAUAUCAUGCGCAGGAUAGGUGGGAGGCUUUGAAGUAAGGGCUUUGGCUCUUAUGGAGCCAUUCUUGAGAUACCACCCUUGAUGUUUCUGUUAGCUA